UACGUAGGGUGCGAGCGUUGUUCGGAUUCACUGGGCGUAAAGGGUGCGUAGGUGGCAGGGUAAGUUUGAUGUGAAAUCUCCGGGCUUAACCCGGAAACUGCAUUGAAUACUAUCCUGCUCGAGGUUUGGAGGGGGGACUGGAAUUCUCGGUGUAGCAGUGAAAUGCGUAGAUAUCGAGAGGAACACCAGUGGCGAAGGCGAGUCCCUGGACAACACCUGACACUGAGGCACGAAAGCUAGGGGAGCAAACAGG
rnacentral:rRNA from 1 species